GACGGAGGGGGCUAGCGUUGUUCGGAAUUACUGGGCGUAAAGGGCGCGUAGGCGGCAAAUCAAGUUAGGCGUGAAAUCCCUGGGCUUAACCCAGGAACUGCGUCUAAUACUGGUUCGCUAGAGAUUGGUAGAGGAAAGUGGAAUUCCUAGUGUAGAGGUGAAAUUCGUAGAUAUUAGGAAGAACACCAGAGGCGAAGGCGGCUUUCUGGGCCAAUACUGACGCUGAGGCGCGAAAGCGUGGGGAGCAAACAGGAUUAGAUACCCUGGUAGUCCACGCCGUAAACGAUGAGUGCUAGACGUCGGUGGUUUAACCGUCGGUGUCGCAGCUAACGCAUUAAGCACUCCGCCUGGGGAGUACGGUCGCAAGAUUAAAACUCAAAG
rnacentral:rRNA from 1 species